CACCCUACAUCACUGCUUUGAAGAUUGCCAGGAAAUUUGCAUUGAUGUUUGUAUUGUAACUCAUCCUAGCGUUAGGAAAACUAGAAAUCUUCUCUCAGUUCACUGAAAACAUGAAUUUUGAGCAUUAGGAAUACUAUUUUGAUUGAAUUCCAAGGGUGGGUGAAAAAAAAGUUAUCUAUCAUCUUGUUGCUCCAAGAACCACAUGAGUUGCACAUACAACAUAUCACUGACUUGUUCAGGUUCAGACAACCAGCAGUUCUCUUACCAUUUAAACAGCAGUGUGCAACUUGGGUGGAGAGCAAGUUGGACAGAUGGUGACUUGCAAUUGCUGCUAAAUCGAUUCUCUAAGAUAGCCUGAGAUGCAUGAGUUGCUGAUUCUUCUCAAGCCCAC
rnacentral:lncRNA from 1 species